AAUAUAACAAGGAAUGGACAGAGGAGUUGACUAUUGAUUUUGACUGAUACUGGUAAUACUGGAAUGAAGUAACCUAUAUGCAGUGUCAAAUGAUUCCAUGCCUGACAGUCCAUUUUUACAUGUACAUAAAAUGUAUGUUGACAGCCAAUGAAUUACACAUUUGUUGCUCCCAAGAUGUAAGAGGAUUUGAAGUUAUACAAUGAAAUGAAUGAAUUGAUUAGAAAUACAUGUAGUUGAGACCCUAUAGCUACAGUACAUGUAACUGGAACUGUAGGAAGUAUUCCAAGAGUAUGAUUGCUAAGUAUGCAUUACAGGAUUUUAUCAUUGGAGCAACAUCCAAGGAGAAUAAGUGGAAAUGUAUGAAGGAAUCCUUGGGUACAAAUAUCAAUUAUAUGCAGAAGUGGACUCUUAAACAUUAUUAACAGAUAUGGUAGUCAAGAAAUUUAUACCAUUACCAACUGGAAUUAACUAUUGUGUAUAUUUUUUCAACCAUAAGUACUUUCAGAAUAC